rnacentral:pre_miRNA from 1 species
AGCACAGAGUGCUUCGACUUACACAGAAUUCGUAAAACCAACUGAUGUAAGUGAAUACUCUGUGUUGA